rnacentral:lncRNA from 10 species
CAAGUGUCCAUAGUACAGCUGCCUCGUGUGGGACCCACUGCUCUAACGAGCCAGCCCCCGACACAGAAGCUGAGCACCCCCAAGCUGGGGAACCUAGAGAGACCUGCACCCGGGUCCCACGUGGAAGACUGGCUGGUGCCAUUUUGUCUUCUGUGGAUGGGUGAGAGUCCCCUUUGCACCCUCCCCCAGUAAUAUCAGGCACAAAGGAAGGGCACUACAACCACAACCAAUAUCAGUAAAGCUUUGGAAGACCUCUGCUACCUAUUUAAAAUAAUCAACACUCAGCCAGAAGAGAUUACCACAGUUCCAGAGACAAUGCUGGCACAAGGCUUCCAG